rnacentral:rRNA from 1 species
UAUUCUAACUGUACAAAGGUAGCAUAAUCAAUWGUUUUUUAAUUAAAAGCUGGAAUGAAGGAUUUAAUAAGGUAAAUAUUGUCUCMMUUUUAAUAAGGUUAAAAUUUUUUUUUUAGUAAAAAUACUAAAUUGAAUUUGAAAGACGAGAAGACCCUMUAGAUUUUUAUAUUUUUAUUUUAAUUAAUUUAAAUAAAAAUUUUUUUUAGAUGAAAAGAUAUUUGAUUGGGGUAAUUAUUAAAUUAAUUGAAUUUUAAUUAUUUUUUAACAAAAAUUAUUGAAUAUAUGAUCUUGAAUUUUUGAAUUAAUAGAAUAAAUUACCUUAGGGAUAACASCGUAAUUUUUUUUGAGAGAUCUUAUUGAUAAAAAAGUUUGCRACCYCSAUGYUGAAUUAAGAUAAAAUUUUAA